rnacentral:rRNA from 1 species
AUUGAACGCUGGCGGCAGGCCUAACACAUGCAAGUCGAGCGGAUGAGAAGAGCUUGCUCUUCGAUUCAGCGGCGGACGGGUGAGUAAUGCCUAGGAAUCUCCCUGGUAGUGGGGGACAACGUUUCGAAAGGAACGCUAAUACCGCAUACGUCCUACGGGAGAAAGCAGGGGACCUUCGGGCCUUGCGCUAUCAGAUGAGCCUAGGUCGGAUUAGCUAGUUGGUGAGGUAAUGGCUCACCAAGGCGACGAUCCGUAACUGGUCUGAGAGGAUGAUCAGUCACACUGGAACUGAGACACGGUCCAGACUCCUACGGGAGGCAGCAGUGGGGAAUAUUGGACAAUGGGCGAAAGCCUGAUCCAGCCAUGCCGCGUGUGUGAAGAAGGUCUUCGGAUUGUAAAGCACUUUAAGUUGGGAGGAAGGGUUGUACGUUAAUACCGUGCAAUUUUGACGUUACCGACAGAAUAAGCACCGGCUAACUCUGUGCCAGCCGCCGCCGCGGUAA